AACGCGAAGAACCUUACCAGGCCUUGACAUCCCUUGCAAAGUCUUAGAGAUAAGAUAGAGGUUAUCAAGGUGACAGGUGGUGCAUGGUUGUCGUCGGCUCGUGUCGUGAGAUGUUGGGUUAAGUCCGCUAACGAGCGCAACCCUUGUCCUUAGUUGCUAACAUUAAGUUGAGAACCCUAAGGAGACUGCCGGUGACAAACCGGAGGAAGGUGGGGAUGACGUCAAAUCAUCAUGCCCCUUACGUCUAGGGCUACAGGCGUGCUAUAAUGGCCGAUACAAUGAGACGCAAUACCGUGAGGUGGAGCAAAUCUAUAAAGUCGGUCUCAGUUCGGAUUGAAGUCUGCAACUCGACUUCAUGAAGCUAGAAUCGCUAGUAAUCCCAAAUCAGAAUGUUGGGGUGAAUACGUUCCCGGGUCUUGUACACACGC
rnacentral:rRNA from 1 species